GAUGAAGAACGUAGCGAAAUGCGAUAAGUAAUGUGAAUUGCAGAAUUCAGUGAAUCAUCGAAUCUUUGAACGCACAUUGCGCCCGCCAGUAUUCUGGCGGGCAUGCCUGUUCGAGCGUCAUUUCAACCAUCAAGCCCCCGGCUUGUGUUGGGGACCUGCGGCUGCCGCAGGCCCUGAAAACCAGUGGCGGGCUCGCUAGUCACUCCGAGCGUAGUAGUUACAUCUCGCUCAGGGCGUGCUGCGGGUUCCGGCCGUUAAAAGCCAUAUUUACCCAAGGUUGACCUCGGAUCAGGUAGGAAGACCCGCUGAACUUAAGCAUAUCAAUAAGCGGAGGA
rnacentral:misc_RNA from 1 species